rnacentral:rRNA from 1 species
AGAGUUUGAUCCUGGCUCAGGAUGAACGCUGGCGGCGUGCUUAACACAUGCAAGUCGAGCGAUGAAGUUUCCUUCGGGAAACGGAUUAGCGGCGGACGGGUGAGUAACACGUGGGCAACCUGCCUUAUAGAGGGGAAUAGCCUUCCGAAAGGAAGAUUAAUACCGCAUAAGAUUGUAGCUUCGCAUGAAGUAGCAAUUAAAGGAGCAAUCCGCUAUAAGAUGGGCCCGCGGCGCAUUAGCUAGUUGGUGAGGUAACGGCUCACCAAGGCGACGAUGCGUAGCCGACCUGAGAGGGUGAUCGGCCACAUUGGGACUGAGACACGGCCCAGACUCCUACGGGAGGCAGCAGUGGGGAAUAUUGCACAAUGGGGGAAACCCUGAUGCAGCAACGCCGCGUGAGUGAUGACGGCCUUCGGGUUGUAAAGCUCUGUCUUUGGGGACGAUAAUGACGGUACCCAAGGAGGAAGCCACGGCUAACUACGUGCCAGCAGCCGCGGUAAUACGUAGGUGGCAAGCGUUGUCCGGAUUUACUGGGCGUAAAGGGAGCGUAGGCGGAUUUUUAAGUGGGAUGUGAAAUACCCGGGCUCAACCUGGGUGCUGCAUUCCAAACUGGAAAUCUAGAGUGCAGGAGGGGAAAGUGGAAUUCCUAGUGUAGCGGUGAAAUGCGUAGAGAUUAGGAAGAACACCAGUGGCGAAGGCGACUCUCUGGACUGUAACUGACGCUGAGGCUCGAAAGCGUGGGGAGCAAACAGGAUUAGAUACCCUGGUAGUCCACGCCGUAAACGAUGUCGACUUGGAGGUUGUGCCCUUGAGGCGUGGCUUCCGGAGCUAACGCGUUAAGUCGACCGCCUGGGGAGUACGGCCGCAAGGUUAAAACUCAAAUGAAUUGACGGGGGCCCGCACAAGCGGUGGAGCAUGUGGUUUAAUUCGAUGCAACGCGAAGAACCUUACCUGGUCUUGACAUCCACGGAAGUUUUCAGAGAUGAGAAUGUGCCUUCGGGAACCGUGAGACAGGUGCUGCAUGGCUGUCGUCAGCUCGUGUUGUGAAAUGUUGGGUUAAGUCCCGCAACGAGCGCAACCCUUAUCCUUUGUUGCCAGCGGUCCGGCCGGGAACUCAAAGGAGACUGCCAGUGAUAAACUGGAGGAAGGUGGGGAUGACGUCAAGUCAUCAUGGCCCUUACGACCAGGGCUACACACGUGCUACAAUGGCGCAUACAAAGAGAAGCGACCUCGCGAGAGCAAGCGGACCUCAUAAAGUGCGUCGUAGUCCGGAUUGGAGUCUGCAACUCGACUCCAUGAAGUCGGAAUCGCUAGUAAUCGUGGAUCAGAAUGCCACGGUGAAUACGUUCCCGGGCCUUGUACACACCGCCCGUCACACCAUGGGAGUGGGUUGCAAAAGAAGUAGGUAGCUUAACCUUCGGGAGGGCGCUUACCACUUUGUGAUUCAUGACUGGGGUGAAGUCGUAACAAGGUAACCGUAGGGGAACCUGCGGUUG